CUUAACAUGUUUGCUUAAUUCGGAAUUUGUUUGCUUAAUUCAGAAAUUAGGAACACAUAUCAUAUAUUAGUAUCAAUGCGAUUGUUAUUGUUGCUAUAAUCGAAAAUGGAUUAGAAUCUGCUUAGGGCAUGAAAAUUAUAUUAACCAAUGAUAAGUUAGGAAACCAAAUCAGUAGAUCAACUUAUUUUAUAAUCACUUUUUAUAAUCACUUAUUUACUUUGUUUUCUAAAUCGAUCCAUAAAC
rnacentral:lncRNA from 1 species